rnacentral:rRNA from 1 species
AUACGGAGGAUGCAAGCGUUAUCCGGAUUUAUUGGGUUUAAAGGGUGCGUAGGCGGAUGAUUAAGCGUGAGGUGAAAUGCCACUGCUCAACAGUGGAACUGCCUCGCGAACUGGUUGUCUUGAAUGCUCCUGCCGUGGGAGGAAUGUGUGGUGUAGCGGUGAAAUGCAUAGAGAUCACACAGAACACCGAUUGCGAAGGCAUCUCACGAAGGAGUUAUUGACGCUGAGGCACGAAAGCGUGGGGAUCAAACAGGAUUAGAUACCCUGGUAGUCCACGCAGUAAACGAUGAUAACGAACCGCUGGGUCGUAGUGAUUCAGUGGCCAAGCGAAAGCGAUAAGUUAUCCACCUGGGGAGUACGACCGCAAGGUUGAGACUCAAAUGAAUUGACGGGG